GGGGUUGUGGCUUAGUGGUAGAGUGCUUGCCUAGCAUGCAUGAGGCACUGGGUUCGAUCUUCAGCACCA
rnacentral:tRNA from 1 species